rnacentral:lncRNA from 1 species
CGUGGAGUAAAAGAGAUGCUGUUCGCUGCUAUGAAAGGCCUUUUCUUUUUGGAGCAGCGCCUUAAAGGAUGGAGUUCGCAAUGUAAUAACCUCAUUCUCCUACAAAUCCUGAGGCUUCACGACUCAUCUGUGUGCCAGGCAAAGCGUUUCCUGACCUUUUUAAGAAAGCUGGAGACGGCGAAGCAGCCGGACCAGAGGGUGCCCCGUCUGCCUGGAACCAAAACAGCAUUGCUGAGAGUUCUGGAGGGGAGGAAACUUGCAGCUCGGAGCCAGCAGUGCGGGCUGAGAGCUUGUAUGACCUCCCCUUCCCCCAGAGAGGGAAGAUUGGACUGGCUGCUGUUAUAUUUGAGCGUACCAAGGAAAGAUUACUGUUAAUCCAGUAAUUUUGCUUGGCUCCUGCACCUAUAGGAGCAUUUCCAGGGCUUUCAGCCAUUCUCGUGAGUCUUCUCUGGAUGUUCCUCCAGUGUUUUGGCCUACGUAUCAAGGUGUGGAGAUGCCAAGGUCGUUGCAGAUGGGAUCCAACCGACAUUUUUGGGUGUUUGUGCAGCCAGCCACCCCAGCUGGGGACUUCCAUGCAAAGCCAAGGGAAGAGGGAUCAUGACUUUGCAUGCUUGCAAAAAAAUUUCAGUUGUGUGUUUGGAAGGACAAAAGGGGCUCUGUGUGUGUCACCAGAUGAAUGCACAUCUGGAGUGACGUUGUGGGGUACUUCAAAUACUGAAGACACCUACGGAGAUGCGUGAGCAGUCUCCUCUGCCUCCUUGGAAGCUGAACCUUCUAACCUGAACUUCCCAUAAGGCUGCUGAUGGCACAGAAGAGCUUCAGAAGUUACCUGCACUUCGUUGUUUCGGAUUGAGUUGGUACAGAUAAUGUGGAC